UUGAUCCUGGCUCAGGAUGAACGCUGGCGGUAUGCUUAACACAUGCAAGUCGAACGGGAUGCUUAGGCAUCUAGUGGCGGACGGGUGAGUAACGCGUGAGAAUCUGGCUCCAGGUCGGGGAUAACAGUUGGAAACGACUGCUAAUACCGGAUGUGCCGAAAGGUGAAAGAUUUAUUGCCUGGAGAUGAGCUCGCGUCUGAUUAGCUAGUUGGUGGUGUAAGGGACCACCAAGGCAUCGAUCAGUAGCUGGUCUGAGAGGAUGAUCAGCCACACUGGGACUGAGACACGGCCCAGACUCCUACGGGAGGCAGCAGUGGGGAAUUUUCCGCAAUGGGCGAAAGCCUGACGGAGCAAUACCGCGUGAGGGAGGAAGGCUCUUGGGUCGUAAACCUCUUUUCUCAAGGAAGAAGAAAGUGACGGUACUUGAGGAAUAAGCAUCGGCUAACUCCGUGCCAGCAGCCGCGGUAAUACGGAGGAUGCAAGCGUUAUCCGGAAUGAUUGGGCGUAAAGGGUCUGCAGGUGGAACUGAAAGUCUGCUGUUAAAGAGUUUGGCUUAACCAAAUAAAAGCGGUGGAAACUACAGAACUAGAGUGUGGUAGGGGCAAAAGGAAUUCCUGGUGUAGCGGUGAAAUGCGUAGAUAUCAGGAAGAACACCGGUGGCGAAAGCGUUUUGCUAGACCAUAACUGACACUGAGGGACGAAAGCUAGGGGAGCGAAUGGGAUUAGAUACCCCAGUAGUCCUAGCCGUAAACGAUGGAUACUAGGCGUGGCUUGUAUCGACCCGAGCCGUGCCGGAGCUAACGCGUUAAGUAUCCCGCCUGGGGAGUACGCACGCAAGUGUGAAACUCAAAGGAAUUGACGGGGGCCCGCACAAGCGGUGGAGUAUGUGGUUUAAUUCGAUGCAACGCGAAGAACCUUACCAAGACUUGACAUCCUGCGAAUCCUGGUGAAAGCUGGGAGUGCCUUCGGGAGCGCAGAGACAGGUGGUGCAUGGCUGUCGUCAGCUCGUGUCGUGAGAUGUUGGGUUAAGUCCCGCAACGAGCGCAACCCUCGUUUUUAGUUGCCAGCAUUAAGUUGGGCACUCUAGAGAGACUGCCGGUGACAAACCGGAGGAAGGUGAGGAUGACGUCAAGUCAGCAUGCCCCUUACGUCUUGGGCUACACACGUACUACAAUGCUACGGACAGAGGGCAGCAAGCCAGGGAUGGCAAGCGAAUCCAGAAACCGUAGCUCAGUUCAGAUCGAAGGCUGCAACUCGCCUUCGUGAAGGAGGAAUCGCUAGUAAUUGCAGGUCAGCAUACUGCAGUGAAUUCGUUCCCGGGCCUUGUACACACCGCCCGUCACACCAUGGAAGUUGGUCACGCCCGAAGUCAUUACCCCAACCGAAAGGAGGGGGAUGCCUAAGGUAGGACUA
rnacentral:rRNA from 2 species